UUCUCUUUAGUUUAAAAAGAAUAGCUGCCUUCCAAGCAGUUGGUCCAUUUUGGAAGAGAAA
rnacentral:tRNA from 1 species